GGGCCAAAGCUCAGUGGUAGAGUAUCUGACUUGCAAGCAGACGGUCCCAGGUUCAAUCCCUGGCAUCUCCA